AGUGAACGCUGGCGGUAGGCCUAACACAUGCAAGUCGAACGGCAGCACAGUAAGAGCUUGCUCUUACGGGUGGCGAGUGGCGGACGGGUGAGGAAUACAUCGGAAUCUACUUUUUCGUGGGGGAUAACGUAGGGAAACUUACGCUAAUACCGCAUACGACCUACGGGUUAAAGCAGGGGAUCUUCGGACCUUGCGCGAUUGAAUUAGCCGAUGUCGGAUUAGCUAGUUGGCGGGGUAAAGGCCCACCAAGGCGACGAUCCGUAGCUGGUCUGAGAGGAUGAUCAGCCACACUGGAACUGAGACACGGUCCAGACUCCUACGGGAGGCAGCAGUGGGGAAUAUUGGACAAUGGGCGCAAGCCUGAUCCAGCCAUACCGCGUGGGUGAAGAAGGCCUUCGGGUUGUAAAGCCCUUUUGUUGGGAAAGAAAAGCAGCAGGUUAAUACCCCGCUGUUCUGACGGUACCCAAAGAAUAAGCACCGGCUAACUUCGUG
rnacentral:rRNA from 1 species